UUGGUUUGCAUAGGUGACCACUUUUGGC
rnacentral:piRNA from 1 species